GUGUCAGCCGCCGCGGUAAUACGUAGGGGGCAAGCGUUGUCCGGAUUUAUUGGGCGUAAAGAGCGUGUAGGCGGCCAGAUAAGUGGGUUGUGAAAACUGAAGGCUUAACCUUCAGACGUCGACCCAAACUAUCUGGCUAGAGUCCGGAAGAGGAGAGUGGAAUUCCUGGUGUAGCGGUGAAAUGCGCAGAUAUCAGGAAGAACACCCGUGGCUAAGGCGGCUCUCUAGUACGGUACUGACGCUGAGACGCGAAAGCGUGGGGAGCGAACAGGAUUAGAUACCCUGGUAGUCCACGCCGUAAACGAUGGGUGCUAGGUGUGGGCGGUGUCGACUCCGUCCGUGCCGAAGCUAACGCAUUAAGCACCCCGCCUGGGGAGUACGGCCGCAAGGCUAAA
rnacentral:rRNA from 1 species